rnacentral:rRNA from 1 species
CAGCCGCCGCGGUAAUACGAAGGGGGCUAGCGCUGCUCGGAAUUACUGGGCGUAAAGGGAGCGUAGGCGGAUCGUUAAGUUGGGGGUGAAAGCCCGGGGCUCAACCUCGGAAUUGCCUUCAAUACUGGCGAUCUUGAGUAUGGAAGAGGUAUGUGGAACUCCGAGUGUAGAGGUGAAAUUCGUAGAUAUUCGGAAGAACACCAGUGGCGAAGGCGACAUACUGGUCCAUUACUGACGCUCAUGCACGAAAGCUAGGGGAGCAAACAGGAUUAGAUACCCGCGUAGUCCCUGUCUCUUAUAC